UACGUAGGGUGCGAGCGUUAAUCGGAAUUACUGGGCGUAAAGCGUGCGCAGGCGGUUUGGUAAGACAGGCGUGAAAUCCCCGGGCUCAACCUGGGAACUGCGCUUGUGACUGCCUCACUAGAGUACGGCAGAGGGGGGUGGAAUUCCACGUGUAGCAGUGAAAUGCGUAGAGAUGUGGAGGAACACCGAUGGCGAAGGCAGCCCCCUGGGCCGAUACUGACGCUCAUGCACGAAAGCGU
rnacentral:rRNA from 1 species